UUUUCCAUAUUUUUUGUGAUU
rnacentral:piRNA from 1 species